rnacentral:tRNA from 1 species
GCCAGUGUGGCACAGUGGUUUGAGUGCUGGACUAUGACUCUGGAGACUAGGGUUUGAUUCCUAGCUUGACC